UCUGUCAACAAUUUAGAAAACGGUCUACACGUUUGGGACAAAUAAGGUAACAUCGAUUCUAAAGUUCGUGAUAACACUAGAUUUUGAUUUAAAUUUAGAAUUUUUUUUUUCAGCAGAGUGAAGUGCGGCAAUUGCAAGGGGUGGAGUGGCUAUAUCAAAGAAGUUUAAAGAAGAAAGGGUAACAGUACGAUAUAUAACCAAUGUAUAACCACCUUUAUCAAUGUUGUUUUGACCAAUUGAAGAAACUUGUAUUAUAAUGUCAAUAACUAACAUAAUAUUUAACAGUAAAUGUAACUUUUAAUUGUAAAUUGAAUAGGUUAGAUACUUUGAAACUUGAACUUCCGUAUUUCUGUUGUAAAAAACUAUUUACUAUUUAUGCAAAAGAUGCAAUCAAGAUAUGAUUUAAUAUGGCAAACUGAGCUUUAUAAUGAUUUCAGAGGCAAUAAACUGUAUGGGAACAAGCUUAGAACUUAUAGACUUUUUAAAAGCAGAUUUUGCUUUACAGAAAAUUACCUUUUGAAGGAAAAUUUUAGAGAUAGAAAUUACUUAACGAAAUUCCGUAUCAGUGCUCACGAUUUAGAGAUUGAGAGGGGAAGGUACAAAAAUCUGACAGUGUCAGAACGUAUCUGUAAAUUGUGUGGUACUGAGGUUGAGGAUGAGGAUGAAAUUAAUUUUCUUCUUCAAUGCCACAAACUUUCAAAUACUCGUUUCAACUUUUUAAAUGAAAGAAAACAACGGUUUAAAAAUUUUGGUGGUUUAGAUAUUCUCAUACUCCAGAAACUUGGAGAAUUAUUGGAAAAUUUAUCCUCAUAUAGGAAAUUUUCCUUACAUGAUAUAUAGAUAUAGUAAUGCCCAGUGACCCCCCUUUUAUUAACCUAGUUAUAUUAUUAAACACUGUGCUUGUUUAAUUCUUCUACUUGUCUUAACAAUUUUUUUUUAUAACAUUGUGUCUUAAUCAUCAUGAUCAUAUUGAAUUAAUUGUAAUCAUUUGUAUGUAAUUAAUGUUGAUUGUUCUGCUCCUUGUAGGCGCUUUGAUUAGCAAUAACAUAUAUUUGAAUUUGAAUUUUGAAUUUGUUGUAUAUUUACGUUUUGACAUACAACAUUAAAUGUAGUACGCAUAUGUUUA